ensembl:lncRNA
ACGGUCACUCGCGCAGUCAAUUAUCAGUCUCGCGUAGUCGGCCACGAGGGAAGGGUUCGUUGUAUCGUAACCAGCAGUUGGAAACCGCACGGUGCGGACGUUAAGCUAAAAUAUAGCGAAUUAGAAUAUUCGUGGUGUUUCGUGCUGUCGGCAGCACGGUGUAUCGGCAGACAGAGGUGCGUUUGCCGUCCGUUCGCCCGCUAGCGUUUCUCGUGGAGAAGAGCUAGGGGAGAGCUAAGCUAUCCAGGAGCACGUGCUCGCGGCCUAGUCGCCAGAGGGACCAAGGAAGAGGCUGGUCUCCCUCGAUCCAGACGAGGUUCGUGAGGCGGGUUCAAGCCCCCUACCAGGCAGCACCGCCGAUCUUCACCCCAACUACAAGGGAGGUGUCCCCCCUCUCCAACGCCCCCCUUUGUAUCCGGCAGUUUCAACUCACCCCCUCUCCCCUCCCCCACUCCAAGUGCACCAACGACCCAGCGGCGCCGCACUACGAGCACGAGGACAUUCGUUAGGCCCACCGAGGGACCUCAGUCAUCGCCAGAUCGUACUUCGUGUUACCGUGUUUUUGGAUUGUCACCUCCAGCCUGCAGUCUUCACUCCCUCCAGCCCGAUACGCCCCAGUCCAACCAACCUCCUGCUUCACUCCUAGCUGAACUAAAUAAACCUGUUCACCGUCACUCCAACUCCUGUCCUGUCUCCUGCUCUUGGGUCCAGCAGCUAACGCUACCCUAACAAUAAUGGCACACUUAAAAAGUACUAAAUAUAGUCAGAAUGUGUAUUAGCUUCUCUGCGGUGCACAGCUAGCAGGGUAGUGCUAGCACAGCUUUUGUUUAUCUUUAUUUUUCCCUUUUAUUAUUGUUAUUUAGUUAACUUGUUAAAGAGUGUGACUAAAAAUAAUUCUCUGGGGUCAGAUGAUCCAAAUUUGAAUAUAAAUGUUACGAUGAAGAGAAACUGUUUGAAAAUGUUGUUUAAGAUGUUGUUAAAGAUGUAUUUAAAUGUACUUUAUUAUGCACAUUUUCCCUGUCAUGCCGUGCAUGUUAAAAAUAAACUUUUCUACCUCAAGUAUGUUCUAAAUAUUUUUUAUGUUUACUUAA